UGAGGAAUAUUGGUCAAUGGGGGCAACCCUGAACCAGCCAAGUCGCGUGAAGGAUGAAGGUCUUAUGGAUUGUAAACUUCUUUUACACGGGAAUAAAGUGGGGGACGUGUCCCCCUUUGCAUGUACCGUGUGAAUAAGGAUCGGCUAACUCCGUGCCAGCAGCCGCGGUAAUACGGAGGAUCCGAGCGUUAUCCGGAUUUAUUGGGUUUAGAGGGUGCGCAGGCGGGAUGUUAAGUCGGCGGUGAAAUUUUGCAGCUCAACUGUAAAAGUGCCUUCGAUACUGGCCUCCUUGAGUGUGGAUGAAGUAGGCGGAAUUUGUGGUGUAGCGGUGAAAUGCUUAGAUAUCACGAGGAACUCCGAUUGCGCAGGCAGCUUACUAAGCCACAACUGACGCUCAUGCACGAAGGCGUGGGGAUCAAACA
rnacentral:rRNA from 1 species